rnacentral:rRNA from 1 species
UGGGGAAUUUUGGACAAUGGGCGCAAGCCUGAUCCAGCCAUUCCGCGUGCAGGAUGAAGGCCCUCGGGUUGUAAACUGCUUUUGUACGGAACGCAAAGGCUUCCUCUAAUACGCGGAGCUCAUGACGGUACCGUAAGAAUAAGCACCGGCUAACUACGUGCCAGCCGCCGCGGUAAUACGUAGGGUGCAAGCGUUAAUCGGAAUUACUGGGCGUAAAGCGUGCGCAGGCGGUUUUGUAAGACAGGUGUGAAAUCCCCGGGCUUAACCUGGGAACUGCAUUUGUGACUGCAAGGCUGGAGUGCGGCAGAGGGGGAUGGAAUUCCGCGUGUAGCAGUGAAAUGCGUAGAUAUGCGGAGGAACACCGAUGGCGAAGGCAAUCCCCUGGGCCUGCACUGACGCUCAUGCACGAAAGCGUGGGGAGCAAA